GGGUUGUGAGGUUAAGCGACUAAGCGUACACGGUGGAUGCCCUGGCAGUCAGAGGCGAUGAAGGACGUGCUAAUCUGCGAUAAGCGCCGGUAAGGUGAUAUGAACCGUUAUAACCGGCGAUUUCCGAAUGGGGAAACCCAGUGUGACUCGUCACACUAUCAUUAACUGAAUCCAUAGGUUAAUGAGGCGAACCGGGGGAACUGAAACAUCUAAGUACCCCGAGGAAAAGAAAUCAACC
rnacentral:rRNA from 2 species